rnacentral:rRNA from 1 species
GUCAGCGGCCAUACCACGUAGAAAGCACCGGUUCUCGUCCGAUCACCGAAGUUAAACUACCCGGUGUUGCUGACU